rnacentral:rRNA from 1 species
UACCGAGGGUGCGAGCGUUGUCCGGAAUCACUGGGCGUAAAGGGCGCGUAGGUGGCGGCCCAAGUCCGUGGUGAAAGCUCGCCGCUUAACGGCGAGUCGGCCACGGAGACUGGGUGGCUCGAGCACUGUAGGGGCAGAUGGAAUUCCGGGUGUAGCGGUGGAAUGCGUAGAGAUCCGGAAGAACACCAGUGGCGAAGGCGACACGCUGGGCCGUACCUGACACUGAUGCGCGACAGCAUGGGGAGCAAACAGG